GCGAGUGGCCCAGCGCGCGGCACGCGUCCCAGCCAACGAGGCUCCUCCCCGGGGGCUGCCCGGCGCGGGGCUCCGGGCUCCGGACAAGGUUCUGCAGACCCGACCCGAGGGCUGGCUCGCCGCUCCUCGCGGCUUCCGCGCGGGCUCUGGCUGCCGAGCGCCAGCACAGAGAGGCGGGCGGGGGAAACUCCCGGCAACUCCAACUCCAGGCGCUGGAGCUCCAGCUGCAGCCGGGCGUCCGCCCGCCCUCCCUCCGCCACCGCCACCGAGUGCGAGCGCCUGUGAAGCAAACCUGCCCCCGCCACCGCCUCUGAGCAUGCCCAGUGCCGCCCUGGGCGAGCCCCGGCGCCCUGACCUGGGGCGCAGAGCUGCGCCGGGGACCAGGCGACCCGCCCCAGGCUCCUGAACACUGAGGAGACUGCAGAGGGCGAGAAGGGGGCCUGCUCCAGCUAGGGGUCCUCGGGGCAAAGGUCUAUGUAUAAGUUUCUGGGGCUGUGGAAGUUAGCGGGAUGGCAAGUUAACAUUUAUGUUCCUGAGACUGCAAGGAGCAAACAGCAGUCAAUGGUCCACACCCAGUUCCUAACACAGAAGCAGGAAUCUAUCAGCAGAUCACAAUGACACAAUGACUCACCUGUCACCACCAGGUCGGAACCAGGGGCUUGAGCCUGGAUCCUUGUGCACCAUAGUGUGUGCACUUAACCAGGUGUACUACCUGUCUCCCUGCCUUCAAUUUUUCAA